rnacentral:lncRNA from 1 species
UAUAAGUUCUUUGUUUUUCAUCUAGCCCUGAGAGUGGCAUCUAGCAUCUGUAACUCUCCCUUAGAAUGAGUGUGCCAAGAUUUCAGUGGAUAGCAAGUGCUGCAGGUAGCAGCAGCAGCAGAAGCAGCAGCAGCAAAACGCACUUGUCACGGAUCAGAAUAUUUUACCUAAUUGGAAUCUAUGGGGUGACAUGUCGAUUCCAGUGUGGAAAAGCAAAGAAGGCAUUUUGAGGAUGAAGCUGCUGGGGGGAAAAAGAUAAGGUAGAAAAGGCAUUUAUCCUGCAAUAUUCUUUCUCAUACAGUUUAGUGGCCUUAAUUUCAUGGGUAAAGUAACCCUCCAGGACUAUAUUGAAAGUUGCCCAGGUUUUCUGCAACAUUAGCACAUCGAAACACGUUAUAUACUCGCAAAAUGACUCACCCCCUACUUUCUUGACCCAACCUGCUAUGACUCUUUCAGGUUGCGGUGACAGAGUUGUCAGAAGAGGCCCUAUUCCGUGUCAUCACAUUUCUGUAGGAUUGGUGGAAGGUUAUUGGGGACAAACUAGUGAUUCUAGAUCUCUCUCUUCUGCCCCUCUAGAUUAAUGGCUCCUCCAGCUUCAAAUAAAAUGGCGGUCAAAAUGAUAUUCUGUGACUGAAGGACAUUUAGGUGAGUAUCCCUUGCUUGGCUAGGGAGGAAAUUUCUAUUGUGUUCCGUCUGCAACUCAUUGUGCUAAGACUCUUUCAGGUUGCGGUGAUUGAGAUGUCGGAAGAGGCCCUAUUCUGUGUCACCACAAUGAGGCUCACCUGCAGGUAGGAGAAGACUUCUUCUUUUCUUCCAGCUCUUCUUUCCUUCACAUUCCACCACUCAGUUGUCUUUUUUCAAGACAAUGUUUUUUCUAUUGAUCUCUCCUUUUUCCCUUUUUCUUUUCUGCUGGUCUCUUCACAGUACUCUCCAAAGAUCCUGCAACACUCAAAUGAAGACAGCUCUUCCAGCAGAGUCCCGGAAAUCAGGGCGGUAAGAAAGCUUAAAUAAAAUAAAAUAAAAAUCUCAUUUUCUGUUCCGUCUGCAACUCAUUGUGCUAAGAUUCUUUCAGGUUGCGGUGACAGAAUUGUCAGAGGAGGCCCUAUUCUGUGUCACCACAAUGAGGCUCACCUGCAGGUAGGAGAAGACUUCUUUUCUUCCAGCUCUUCUUUCCUUCAGACUUCCCAGAGUUCACUGUUCUUGAAGUGAGAGUCACCAGCAUUAGGACAGUGCUGCUUUAGGUAAGUUCACAUUGCACCACUCAGUUGUCUGUUUUCAAAACAAUGUCUUUGGUAUUGGUCUCUCCUUUUCCUCAUUUUCUUUUCUGCUGGUCUCUUCACAGGUCUCCCCAAAGAGCUCUUCUUAACCUCUUAAGGUUUUCUUUUUCCUGAGAGAACAUUCACAGAAUGUUCUCUCAGGUUUUGCUUUUCCCCUUGUUGCAUUGCUCAAAAAAAAAGCAAAAGACACUGGUGGUUGGCGCUCCUGGUUCCCAGGACGGGGUUCAAAUCCCUGCGCUGUCCAUGCUUACUUCCAAUGCAACUGCUAACUCUCUCUAUUUCUCUCUAUCCCUCUCUGUCUCUCUAGCCCUCUCUAUCCCACACUGCCCAAAUAACAAUUGGCUCCCUUUUUCUUAAGCCCAAGUAUUAGCAUGGGAGGGUGGUGACUUCAGUGACUGAGCUUGAUUCUUAACUCCACCAUCGCACCAAAGGACCAUUUCAAGCACCACCUUCCUGGCAAUGUGCUGUUGCUGGGAAGAUGCUCACUUGGUGUAUCACUGGUUGUGUGUCUAGGUCGGCUGGAUCAGGUGGCUGCUUCCCCUCCUAGCGUUCCCAGUCACUGGUGUGAGAAGUCUCUCCAUGGAUCUGGUCUGCCUGCAUUCCAGACACUACUGGAGGAGCAAUUCUCCCUGCAAAGGUAACAGACAAGGUGGCCUUAUGGGGGAAACAUGCUGUGGAGCUUGCUGUGUAGGGUGGUGUUUUUGUUUUUUAACAAUUCAUGAUCAAUAGCUUCCCAAUCUUCUGUCAGUAAAUGGUGGAUCAUGAACAUAGCUGUCAACUUUUCCCUUUUCUUGCGAGGAAUCCUAUUCGGAAUAAGGGAAUUUCCCUUUAAAAAAGGGAAACGUUGACAGCUAUGAUCAUGAAGCAAGGAGAAUUGGGAGGAGACCUGGGCAAGGUGUGAGGCAGGUGCAGAUGCAACUUUGAUUACAGGUGUUCUGGCAACUUAGAAAGUUCAGUGUCUGUGUUUGCUUGCCUUCAGAUUGGCAGAUGCAACAAAACCAUUGUCCAAGGCGGCCUCUGUUUCAAGGCCAGAAUUGAUUUGCAUUCCCAUAACUGUUACUCUCUUUCUAUUUUUGCAGAUCAUGGUGCAAGACUGUAGAUUUUUCCCCUUGCAAAGUUAAGCAACAGUGUCACAAUUAUUUAAGGUAGGCAAAUCUGAUAGAUAAAAAUGGAGCAGCCAGAAAUACUUUUGAAAUCUGAAGGCUUGUUUGUUUUUUUGUUAAAAAUAGUUCCUAACUGUUUCUUGUUCAGGAAAUCAGGGGUUUUUUUUGGGGGGGGGGCAAGAUUGCUAUCGUACAGAGCACGGUGUGACAUAAAACCAGCACAUUUUCUGUGCUUUGCUUCUCUUCUGGAAGCUCAACAACUUCACCACCUUUUCUAGAUGAAAAGGACUGCAUAAAACCAUUGUGGAGAUGUGGGAGUAGGCCUCCCAUAAUCGUUGCUAUCUCCUUCAAAUACAGUAAAUGUCUAAGCACAGUCGAUGGAAAUAGGAAAGGAUGGGAAAGUAUUAGAAAUCAAGAAAAAGUAUUUUACUGUGAGCAGCAAAGGAUGGAGGGAAAAUAAGCAUCUUGAAAGACGGGUGUAAAGUCAACUUUUAAAUUUGUGUUAAAUUUGAAUUAAUUUGUUGUUAAUUUGUGUUAAAUUUGGAAAACUAAUAAAAAACUAAUAAAAACUGUUGGGGAUUGUAGGGAGAGACCUGCCAAAAAAAGUUGAAAAACAUCUUCAUGUAUGCGACAAUGGCCACGAGAGUUCUGGUAGCACAAGGAUGGAAGUCUGAAGAAACCCCAGCUAAAGAAUCAUGGCAAGAAAAAUUGAUGGACUAUGCAGAACUGGCAAAACUGACAUAUAAGCUACGGGACAAGGAUAACUGUGACUUUAAGGAUGAAUGGGAAACCUUUACAAAGUAUCUGAAGACGCAGCAAAGCGAACUGGACUCCUUGGCUGGUUUUGAAUAAACAUUCACAAACUUUUUAUUGAUAAUAAUCAGCUUAAUAGUUUGCCAGUAGUGAUGUAUGGAAGUGAGAGCUGGACCAUAAAAAAGGCUGAUCGCCGAAGAAUUGAUGCUUUUGAAUUAUGGUGCUGGAGGAGACUCUUGAGAGUCCCAUGGACUGCAAGAAGAUCAAACCUAUCCAUUCUGAAGGAAAUCAGCCCUGAGUGCUCACUGGAAGGACAGAUCCUGAAGCUGAGGCUCCAAUACUUUGGCCACCUCAUGAGAAGAGAAGACUCCCUGGAAAAGACCCUAAUGUUGGGAAAGAUGGAGGGCACAAGGAGAAGGGGAUGACAGAGGACGAGAUGGUUGGAUAGUGUUCUCGAAGCUACCAGCAUGAGUUUGACCAAACUGUGGGAGGCAGUGGAAGACAGGAGUGCCUGGCGUGCUCUGGUCCAUGGGGUCACGAAGAGCCGGACACGACUAAACGACUAAACAACAACAACAACAACAACAACAAUAACAACAAAUAGUUUGAGGAUGUAUACAACUUUGUAACAUGCAGAAAACAGCAUUUUUGAGAAACCAAAGACUGGAACUGAGGGAAGUCGGGG